GGUUCCUGGUCCUGGGCAUGACCUAAAGCUACACCCUGCUGGGGUUGAAUGGUGUAGUGGGGCUGCUUCUGCGAGAGCAGCUUCCAGGAAAUGCCACACCUGUGCCUCUCCAGUGAAGGGUAUGUACGGGGCGCCAGAAAGCCUCAGCCCCAACUGCCUUGUGGGUUACCUUGUGGAGGGAAAAGGCUAGAGGAGCACACCACAACAGAAAGGCACACAGGCCCAAGCCCACUGAGUAGGGCCUGAGCCAGGGUUAAAGUAAGUCAACAGAUGCCUGAGGCCCAAGGGGGUGUAGUGCCCCAAAGGGUCCAGGUAUGUUGGGAGAUGCCUGAGACCUAUACAGCCAUAGGCUGAGUUAGUGGGGCCUAGGGGUCUAGUGGAAAAUUUGGAUGCCAUCUCUGAGGCAUGGGAUGUGGCAUAAGGGGAGAUAUGAAGCCGUGUAGUUCACCCUUGGCAUCAGGUUUUAAAAUGGGCAGCCUCUUGCUUUCAAAUAAACAGCUUAUUGUUUACAUGAAGGUGUGGCAGGAGAGUGUAAGCCUGCAGACUGCCCAGACAGGGAGGUGGGCUGGCCGUGUGCCUGGUCUUGCUAGUUACCCCGUUACAAUAAGUCCUCAGCCUUUUUAGAUUUGAGGCACCCCUCAAUAGACUUGAGGUACCUCUCGCUUCACUAGGUCUGUAGGCUCCUGGAACAAAAGAUUUUAUCCCUGGAAAAAUGCUGUCUGUUUAUAACCAUGAGGAUAGGUCCAAAAAACUGGGGUUAUUUGCUAUAGAGAGGAUUGACAUGGGAUUUGUUAAGUCUUCAAA